AAAGACUUUGAUUUCUCGUAAGGUGCCGAACGGGUCAAUAAGUAACACCGUCCGAUCCCUAGUCGGCAUAGUUUAUGGUUAAGACUACGACGGUAUCUGAUCGUCUUCGAUCCCCUAACUUUCGUUCCUGAUUAAUGAAAACAUCCUUGGCAAAUGCUUUCGCAGUAGUUAGUCUUCAAUAAAUCCAAGAAUUUCACCUCUGACAAUUGAAUACUGAUGCCCCCGACUGUCCCUAUUAAUCAUUACGGCGGUCCUAGAAACCAACAAAAUAGAACCACACGUCCUAUUUUAUUAUUCCAUGCUAAUGUAUUCGAGCAUAGGCCUGCUUUGAACACUCUAAUUUUUUCACAGUAAAAGUCCUGGUUCCCCAUCACGAUCAGUGAAGACCAUGAGGUUCCCCAGAGGGAAAGGCCCGGCCGAACCAGUGCACGCGGUGAGGCGGACCGGCCAGCCAGGCCCAAGGUUCAACUACGAGCUUUUUAACUGCAACAACUUUAAUAUACGCUAUUGGAGCUGGAAUUACCGCGGCUGCUGGCACCAGACUUGCCCUCCAAUUGUUCCUCGUUAAGGGAUUUAAAUUGUACUCAUUCCAAUUACAAGACCCAAAAGAGCCCUGUAUCAGUAUUUAUUGUCACUACCUCCCCGAAUCGGGAUUGGGUAAUUUGCGCGCCUGCUGCCUUCCUUGG
rnacentral:rRNA from 1 species